rnacentral:lncRNA from 1 species
GUUGGGAAUGUUCGGCCACUGACGGACUGAUGAAGUUCUGGAAGAAAUUCGGAUUGGAGUCGAUCGAAUCCUGUUGGAAAAGAUCUGGAAGAGGUCCGAAGAAUGGUUGACCCUUGUAGGAGGUCGGUCGAUAGUAGAAUCUAGAGAGCACUUGGAGCAGCCUGAUAGACGACUGAAGAAGCUUAUCAUUGGAGAAGCCCGGGAGAUGCGGCAGGAGUUCGUCCAUCAAGAGAAUCCUGUCGGCCCUUGUGGAAGGAGCUG